rnacentral:rRNA from 1 species
GACGAACGCUGGCGGCGUGCCUAAUACAUGCGAGUUGAGCGCUGAAGGUUGGUACUUGUCCCAACUGGAUGAGCAGCGAACGGGUGAGUAACGCGUGGGGAAUCUGCCUUUGAGCGGGGGACAACAUUUGGAAACGAAUGCUAAUACCGCAUAAAAACUUUAAACACAAGUUUUAAGUUUGAAAGAUGCAAUUGCAUCACUCAAAGAUGAUCCCGCGUUGUAUUAGCUAGUUGGUGAGGUAAAGGCUCACCAAGGCGAUGAUGCAUAGCCGACCUGAGAGGGUGAUCGGCCACAUUGGGACUGAGACACGGCCCAAACUCCUACGGGAGGCAGCAGUAGGGAAUCUUCGGCAAUGGACGAAAGUCUGACCGAGCAACGCCGCGUGAGUGAAGAAGGUUUUCGGAUCGUAAAACUCUGUUGGUAGAGAAGAACGUUGGUGAGAGUGGAAAGCUCAUCAAGUGACGGUAACUACCCAGAAAGGGACGGCUAACUACGUG